rnacentral:misc_RNA from 1 species
UUUGAUGAUUACUAAUACUUCGCUGUCUUUAGAGGACGCGGAGAUUGUGAGACUUGAAA